GCCAAUGUAGCACAAUGGUAGUGCGUUGCUUUCCUACCUUGCGGUUUGAACAGGCAGAGGCUGUGGGUUCGAGUCCCAUCAUUGGUU
rnacentral:tRNA from 1 species